CGAACGCUGGCGGCGUGCCUAAUACAUGCAAGUAGAACGCUGAAGGAGGAGCUUGCUUCUCUGGAUGAGUUGCGAACGGGUGAGUAACGCGUAGGUAACCUGCCUGGUAGCGGGGGAUAACUAUUGGAAACGAUAGCUAAUACCGCAUAAGAGUAGAUGUUGCAUGACAUUUGCUUAAAAGGUGCAAUUGCAUCACUACCAGAUGGACCUGCGUUGUAUUAGCUAGUUGGUGAGGUAACGGCUCACCAAGGCGACGAUACAUAGCCGACCUGAGAGGGUGAUCGGCCACACUGGGACUGAGACACGGCCCAGACUCCUACGGGAGGCAGCAGUAGGGAAUCUUCGGCAAUGGACGGAAGUCUGACCGAGCAACGCCGCGUGAGUGAAGAAGGUUUUCGGAUCGUAAAGCUCUGUUGUAAGAGAAGAACGAGUGUGAGAGUGGAAAGUUCACACUGUGACGGUAGCUUACCAGAAAGGGACGGCUAACUACGUG
rnacentral:rRNA from 1 species